rnacentral:rRNA from 1 species
GAUGAACGCUGGCGGCGUGCCUAAUACAUGCAAGUCGAGCGAACAGACGAGGAGCUUGCUCCUCUGACGUUAGCGGCGGACGGGUGAGUAACACGUGGAUAACCUACCUAUAAGACUGGGAUAACUUCGGGAAACCGGAGCUAAUACCGUAUAAUAUAUUGAACCGCAUGGUUCAAUAGUGAAAGACGGUUUUGCUGUCACUUAUAGAUGGAUCCGCGCCGCAUUAGCUAGUUGGUAAGGUAACGGCUUACCAAGGCGACGAUGCGUAGCCGAACUGAGAGGGUGAUCGGCCACACUGGAACUGAGACACGGUCCAGACUCCUACGGGAGGCAGCAGUAGGGAAUCUUCCGCAAUGGGCGAAAGCCUGACGGAGCAACGCCGCGUGAGUGAUGAAGGUCUUCGGAUCGUAAAACUCUGUUAUUAGGGAAGAACAUAUGUGUAAGUAACUGUGCACAUCUUGACGGUACCUAAUCAGAAAGCCACGGCUAACUACGUG